rnacentral:rRNA from 1 species
AUGGGCCAUAUGAUUCUUGGCAGGGAAGAAGCUAUUUGGGCUGAAUCAGACGAGGUGCUGGAGCAGAUUGGGAAGGGCUCCUUUGGCUCUGCGCUCCUGGUGAGGCACAAGGUUGAGAGGAAGAGGUAUGUCUUGAAGAAGAUCCGGCCUGCCUGUCAGACCGUCAGGUGCCGGCGAUCCGCGCACCAAGAGAUCGAGCUCAUCGCAAAAGAAAGGAGCCCUUACAUCAUGGAAUACAAAGAUUCUUGGGUGGAGAAGGGGUGCUAUGUGUGCAUCAUGAUUGGUUACUGCAGGGGAGGGGACAUGCUAGAGGCCAUUAAGAAGGCUAACGGCAACCAUUUCUCGGAGGAGGUGCUCAACUACUUUAAACUCUGUGUGUGGCUUGUGCAGCUCCUGAUGGCGCUUGAUUACUUGCAUGCCAAUCAUAUACUUCAUCGAGAUGUCAAGUGUUCAAAUAUAUUUCUUACAAAGGACCAAAAUAUACAGAUCGGUGAUUUUGGGCUGGCUAAAGUGUUUACUUCUGAUGAUUUAGCUUUGUCGGUUGUAGGAACUCCCAGUUACAUGUGCCCUGAACUUGUUCCUGACAUUCCAUAUGGCUCCAAGUCCGACGUGUGGUCGUUAGGAUGCUGCAUCUAUGAGAUGACUGCGCUGAAGCAUGCGUUCAGUGCAUUUGAUAUGCAGACACUGAUAAACAAGAUUAACAAGUCUGUUGUCGCCCCUCUACCGACUAUAUAUUCUGGCGCAUUUAGGGGACUCAUCAAAAGCAUGCUGCGCAGAAAUCCAGAUCACAGACCGUGA